GUGUUCCCUUCUCAGUGAAACCAGUCUGCAAACAUCCUCAUAGAUACAUUCAGAGGUGUCUUUUCUAGGUGAUUCCAAAGUGAGUUAGGCUGUGAAAGUUUACCAUCAUAGACUCCAGAAAAUGCUUCAUGCUGGUAUUUCUAAGAAAAAGAAUCAGCGAUAUUAUAGUUAUUCUGUAAUUUGUAUUUGUUUCUUUUCUUUUCUCUUCCUCCUUUUCUUCUUCUUCUUCAUUUUCGAUAGAAAGAUAGAUAUAUAGACAGAUAGAUAGAUAUUUACUAUGUGAUGUCAUAUGAGAGUUAUAGUAGUAAUUAAGAUUGAAAUUUUUAAAAAAUGCAUUUGCCUCAGCCAAAUUACCAAGAAAACUGAGAUUAUUAGCCUUUGAAAUGGCCAUUUUUGUAAAUUUAUUGUUAUUUACCAAAUCUGACAUUGUGGGAAGUCCCAAGCCGGAUGUAGAGCUCCCCAUACACUACGAAGUGGAAGUUUAAAAAUCUCAUUACAAGUAUAUUUGGGGAAAGCUCUAUGGGAUCCCAAGGCUACCAAAGUUUCUUUUGAACAUUAGUGUCCUGGCCAGGCGUGCCUGUUAUUCUAGCCCUGGGGGAUUUAAAGCAGUUUGAGUUGAAGGCCAGUCUGAGCUUCAAAGUAAAACUUAUAUGCUAAUUUAAAAAUAAUUUUUAAAAGAAUGACCAUCACAAUAAUCUUCAUGGGUAGGAGUUGAGUGAAUUGAUACAUUAUAACAGUCCAUGAAUUGCACAUAAAUAUGCACACAGAAGGAGUGUAUUAGUGAAGGUAGCAGUCAGAGAAAUAGGCUUCAGAAUGGCCAAAGCCGAAGAGAUGUAGAUAAACCAGCACAAAGGAGGCAGACUUAGCUUUUGUAUUCAUGGGUUCUACUACCUUGGUUACAAUAGCAUGGGGAAUUAUAGAGGUGUCCAUCAGAUUUGUCUGAAUCUGGAGUCGAUUCAGAAAUUCAUCAGUGACAACAUCCUCAGGAUUGGUUGGUCUCCAGUUUAUGUUUGCUAAAUUUGAUACUCUUUCUUAGUUUUUGGAGAUAACAGUGUCAUAUAGUAGAUUGCUUGUUGAGUCGAGAGAGACAUGGUUGAUGUUUUUCAGCUGUAGACUGAUCAUGCCCCAUCGUACUCCCCUCAAUUUCAGUAAAAUUGUUUGUUUGGUUGGUUGGUUUGAGUUUUGUUGUCCUUUUUGGUUUUAAGGAGUAACUCAAAAGGACUGGGAAUAUGUGAGAUUUCUCAAACAAACAAAGAAACAAACAAAAAUUCAAUACCAACCAAUCAAACAAAAAAGGUAACUUCUUAAGCAGCUAUAAAAAUACAAAUCCUAAACUAGCACUAGAAAAAUCUAAGCACCAAUCAGACUGUAAGAGUCUUCAAGAAGUUUAAAAAUUCAUGGUAACAGAUUAUGUCCAGAAGUGGGAGUGAAAGGCCUGGAAUAUAAAGGAUUAUUGGUGGAAAGCUGGCUGCCUUUCUUGCUUUGUACACUAUUUCCUAACUCCUAUGAGGCUCUCUGUUGGCCUUUAUUUUUUUUGACGAGAUAGAAACAAACUGCCCUAAGAUAUUUUCCAGGAAAAAGGAUAGUCAGUCAACACAUGUAUAUGCAAAUAGCUAAAUGUAGGUACCAUCAGCCUUCCUCCCCAGAAUGGGAGCCAGCAAUCUCAGUGACCGUUAAGAAAAAAAGGAUUUGAAGAGGAAAUUCUUCAAGCUUUCAGGAAGGGAAAGCAGGAGGGAAUAAGAGAACAGGCUGCAUUAAGAAAGAAUGCCUUUGGAAUUCAUAGCAAUCCUGGAAGCUAGAAAACCACUGAAGGGAAACAACUUCUAGACUAACUGCCAAAUUGUAAGUCAAGUUGUUUAAAUGAAAACAAUUUUAAACACUCAAUAUCUCACAAAAUUUUCUCUAAAUAAUCCUUUUACAAUAAGCACAAAGUAUUUUGUCACCAAGUAAAGGGAUGAGUCAAGGAAGAAACCCUGUCUCUGGGGACAAGGAGCUCCAACAAAGGAAAGAAGACAAAGAAAAGUUGGAGUGCUGAGGACCUGAGACUGAAACAGGUCAGAAUUCUGAAUGAAGCUCAUGAAGAAGGUGGAGUUGAGAGCUAUGAAUGUGAAUGCUUUGAUAGGUUUCGUAAAGUUGAUAAAUUUUGAAUUUGUAUUAGUGACCAUGGAAAAUAAUCACCCAAAUAAUAAAAGCCAAUUAUGAUGAUUAAAUCAAAGUAAUGUUAAGGAAAGAAGAAUUAUAGUUGAGGACAUGACUCUGACAAAUGAAAAAAUAUAUUAAAUGAGCUUAAUUUUGGUGUAAGUAUUUUUGGAAGGUAGAAGACUGAGAAAUACCUCAACAUAUAGUAUCAAAAGAAAAAAAACCAAGAAUGUUAAGUGCCCAUCUUCCACAAAGUUAACAAAUAACACCUGAGCCAGGAAAAUCAAGGGAUAGCAAUUUAAAUAUGUUAUUCAGAUCAAUGGUAUCAAAUGCUCAAAAAAUCAUGCAGAAGAUUUGGAUUUCAUGUUUAUGUUUGUCUUAAAGAAUCUUUCAUAGCUAGUUGGUUGUUACAAACAUCACAUGUAAAGGUUAGUUUGAGAAUACUCUAAACACCUCCACUGUUCCCUUUUGCAAAUGCAACAGUUAACUCUCCAGAGAU
rnacentral:lncRNA from 1 species